CCUACGGGUCGCAGCAGUGGGGGAUAUUGGACAAUGGGGGGAACCCUGAUCCAGCGACGCCGCGUGAGUGAAGAAGUAUUUCGGUAUGUAAAGCUCUGUCAGCAGGGGAGAAAGAAAUGACGGUACCUGACCAAGAAGCCCCGGCUAACUACGUGCCAGCAGCCGCGGUAAUACGGAGGGGGCAAGCGUUCUCCGGAAUUACUGGGUGUAAAGGGAGCGUAGACGGUUAAGUAAGUCUGGAGUGAAAGGCCGGGGCCCAACCCCGGGACUGCGCUGGAAACUAUUGAACUUGAGUGGAGGAGAGGUAAGCGGAAUUCCUAGGGUAGCGGUGAAAUGCGUAGAUAUUAGGAGGAACACCAGUGGCGAAGGCGGCUUACUGGACUGUAACUGACGUUGAGGCUCGAAAGCGUGGGGAGCAAACAGGAUUAGAUACCCUUGUAGUC
rnacentral:rRNA from 1 species